CUCGGUCUCCUUGGCCUCCCGCUCCUGCGACGCCGCCUUUCUUUUCUCUUGUUCCCGGGCUCGGACCUCGGCGGGGGGGCCCGCCCGCCAGUUGGUUGCCUCCUGCAGCACCCUGGAGGCCCAGGGUCGGCGGGGUGGCGGCUCAGGGGAUCCCGGGCGCAGCCUACACCUGGGACAAUGAGCAGGAACCCAGGGCUUCUUCUCUCCACCCGUGAGCACCAGAGCCUGUAAGAUGUCAGACAGCGAAACGAUGCCCUUGACCACGUCGUGUUCAUCCACCACCACCAGACGGUGAACCUGGCCCAGAGGAACAGCAAGUAACGUCAGUGCCAGCUCCAGUUCGGGUAAGGCGGAGACUCGGUGCUGUACAAAGAUGCCCAGAGCCACGUAGACAGGCGUGGUAGUACGGACCAUGGCAAUAUUGGCAUAGGUGCCAAUCUGCAGCUCUUGGAGAGACUUAGACAUGAAUUCCGGCUUGGGGAACUCGGUGAUCUGAGGAAGGGGGCAUUGGCUUGCAGGUGCUUUCCGGAUAGAGCAGGAGGUGCUACGCUCAAUCAUCAACACCAACACCGCUCCUCUGUCCCCAAACCGCUCUGUGUGUGUCUGCAGUUCAGCACGUAAUCGGAUGAUGGCCUGAGGUUACUUACAAACAACUUGAGGAACUUGAGGAUCCGCUUGUGAGUAAGGAUGUACAAGGUGUUGCCUGACUCUGGGUCGAUAACUGGGAGCCUGUGGAUCUUAUUUCGAAUUAAUGAAGAGACAGCAUCAAACAAGCUGCGAAAAAGUAGAAGAUCAUAGUUAGGUUCCACGGGGCUAACGCCAGGCUGUACAACCCCUUGGAAUGUGUUUACAGUCAGAAAAAACCCACAGUCAGCGCUGUGUGUGGCUGGGCAUGAACUGGUAACUCCUGCACUGGGGCAAACAGAAGAGUCUAAGUUCACGACAGCCUCAACUCUACAGUAAGAGCAAGGCCAGUCUCGGCUGUGUGAGACUUUUUUUUUUUUCUCAAACACACACAGCAUGGCAGUGUGCAUGAGGAGGGGUCCUUCUUCUCUCCUCUCUCAUGCCCCUGAGGUAAACACAAACACACACAGCAUGGCAGUGUGCAUGAGGAGGGGUCCUUCUUCUCUCCUCUCUCAUGCCCCUGAGGUAAACACAAACACACACAGCAUGGCAGUGUGCAUGAGGAGGGUCUUUCUUCUCUCCUCUCUCAUGCCCCUGAGAUAAACACAAAACCAGUACUUACCUGGCAUUUGGAGAGAUGCAGACAAGUGGCUUAAAGGAGUCCUGCAGGUACACCUCUGAAGAGAACAAAACACUGCCACGUGAGUGUCGCCCAGGACACCUCCAUCCCUCAUCUGCCACCCCCACCCAUACCUCUCCACGUCUCUAUCUUGUGCUCCUCCAGUUCGUAGAUCUGCACCUAGAAGCAGAAGCAGCAGCUCUGAACCUCAUGCUCCCCUCGUCAUUAACUCACGGAGCUUUGCUCGCAGGGGAAAACCAGGCACAAUGGACCCCAGGCAGGGCCGUGGUUUUGGCUGGGAGACUCAGGCUCCUUACCAGGGCUGACUUAUAGUAUCGGUGCAAAAUGUUGAUGAAGUCGGUGAUGGUCAGCAUGCCUAGACAAGAGCCAAGAAGAGGGCCUCAGCUCAGCCUGUCCGAGGCUUUUCCCCUCGCCCGGCAACACAUGCCAGUAACCGUAUCCCAGAAACUCCUGCUUACCCACAAAACUCUGCUUCUUACUGUCCCACAAAGGGGCGGCACGAACACCAUUGGUCACCAGGGCAAAAAAGGCUUUCUUUACCUAUGGCCAAGAGAGUAACCUCCUAAGGAGAUCCAUAGAGGGCACAGCUUCGAGGAAGAGCAGGGUUGGUGUGUGGGGAAAUAUGACGAAUGCUGACAGGCCUUGGACCAGCGCAGGAGGAAGGGCUCUACCCACCUGUAGCGAAGUGUCAAAUACCACCAACUUGGAACUUGUGGGAAUUAGGUCAUAGCAGCGAUGAGACUUCAUGAAGGAAGUAUACACACUAUUGUUUGAUUCCGGGGUCUCUGCACAGAGUGAAAAAGUUGGUGUGUUUCUUUUAUGUAAGAAGUCACCAUCAGAAGAGACAGAAACCAAAAAUGGCUUUUGUUUUGUUCUU
ensembl:lincRNA B130046B21Rik RIKEN cDNA B130046B21 gene